CGGUCUGCCAUCUCACAAGCUCAGAACCUCAGGUCCCCACCGAACGUCCUACGCUGUGCUGGGGCCGCGGAGGGGUGGAUUCAAAAGACAUUGACCAGAUGUGCAGUCUUGGGUCAGUUACGUAAAUCCUGUAAAUCCUGUGACUCCCAACUUCCAUGUCUUCAAAAUGCAGAAAACAUUUCAGAUUCUGAAAGAGUUCUGCAGCUAAAUAACUACAGAAAGGUUUGUAAGACACUGAAGCAAGUUUCACGAGGCAAGUGACUUACUCUCCAAUCUUCAAUGUCCUCAACUAUAAAGUGUGGGAUAUAGUAUGUGUUUUUUUCUGCCACACAGGAUUGUUUUCAAGCACCAAUGAAAUCAUUUCCACAGAUGGUGGAGGUAUCAUCGUUAGUAUCUUUAUCACUAUCUUACCGAAGACCAGCACCAAGACCUAUGGCUUGAAAUCAUGUCAUCAACAGGACAUCUUCUGGGUCAACCAUCCUGUAUGUAAGACUACAUUAUUUCAUGUUUGAAAGAUGCAGGAUCUCUCUGGAAUUAAGGACUUCAAUAAUAGUAAAGUCUCAGGAAUCGAGACAUUGCAAAUUCAGAAUAAAUCAUGGAGGGAGUGCCUUUGCACCAAUUACAAAAUAAGGCCUGAGUGUGUAAACAAGGAUUCAAGGGGAGUAUUGACCCUCCUCUUGAGUUAAUCUUCAAAGCAUUUUGCUCAGAACUUUAAGAAAUGUUUUCAAAGCAACGUCUUCCUAUAAAUAAGUAAUACAGCAAUUCGGAAAUAUUUUUACUGCUUUGUUAUGGCAAGUCCCACA